UAUGGAGGCCUUUCUAAUAUGCAGCUGUUGCAUAUAAAUUUGAUUUCAAACAGUCUACUGUAUCAUUGACUUGCCAGACUCGUAUUCCAAGUCAUUAUAAACGGAGUGACUAGAGAUUGUUUCGCGCUCGUGCGCUCUCAAUGACAUUUUCGCUUGUCUAGAUUAGGAAGACGUUUUUAUUGCUCCCAUAAUGUAGGACAUGUUGUAUAAACAAAUAUGACACAUAUCAGUGGCUUUUAAGGGGGGAUUUUUUAAACCGUUAUCUCUGGUGGAGUGGACCAAACUCAGACGUUACCUUGGAGCAAAGCUGAGGUCUGAACCGGAGGGACUUCCCAUCGGGCCGCUGACGUGUUUGAGAAUCCGCAAUCGCCUGACAGGUAAAACGGAGGACAGAGGGUGGGGAACGGGGCUGAGGCGAGACCAGACGGCCUGCGGUGCUGGCGUCAGACUGGACAGGCCAAAGGGGUACCCCAAAUGUAUAGGGUUGCACCAAAGAAGAAGAAAAGGAUGAGGAGGGGCUCUAACUGAUGAUGAAGAUAACUACAGGCUUACAGACUGAAAAGAAAACCUGAAUGAAUGAGUGGAGCAUAAAGACGUGACGACGUGAAGCUCCAGAAAUAUGAAGCCUGGUGUUGGACUGUGCGCGGUGCAGAGAUAAAGGAGCACGUAGGCCAUGACUGGAUGGGAAAACAAGUGAUGUUAAUGGAGAGAGAAGGAGGAAUCCUGCAAGACAUGCAAAGGAAAUAAACACCACUUUAACGGGGUAUUCCACCCUUUGCCUUUUACAAGACCUGCGCUCCAGAGGGGCGUUCGUCCAUCAUCUGCAGAUCCGCAACUGCCAAUAAAUCCCAGACAAGCCCUUCCUGCUGUCUGACACACAGUCAGUGCAGAAAGAGAGAUGUUUUACAGUAAAACCACAAGCGUGUAAAAGAUCCCCCUGACUCCCCUGGGGUGCAGGGCUGAAACAAUGCUCCCUCUUUCCUCUACGGGAUUGGAAACACAGAUCUUUGCAGUGUGGCUGCUGCUGAAGCACAUGUGGAGGGUAGCUUUCAGGGGCGAUAACCUCUAACAGCUCUCAGGGGGCCAGCUUAGGGCCAGAUGCGAUGAGCUUCAGCCCAGGAGAUGCUGCUGCUAUAAUAUAAUACAUGAAAAUAAAAGCUGAUGGAGACGAUUGUUCGUGUCAUCCAUGUUGUUCAGGAAAUCAGCUGAGAAUUAUAUUUUUAGUCCAGAUGGUCUGGCAUGAAAGCAAAGGCCAGAUUCACAGCUCGUCAUCUUGCGAAAUUAAUUACAACAACCUCACUCUGUACUGCAAGUUCAAAGUAAUAGGAAUCAGAUAUUGUGGUUCACCGAGGUCAGAGUUCGAGAAAGCUGACCUCUACAAGCCUUUAAUGUACUCCACAGGAAGCUGUACAAGCCCAGCUGGACUUGGCAAGCUUAUCCACAUGGCCACAGGUCACCGAUGGAUACAAGGUUUGCAGACACACUCACAGCAGAGGACCAAACAUAUAAAAGGGAGAUGGAGAAGCUGGGGUGCUGUUGGUUUUGGAGACUCGAAAGAGAGAAGAUAAGAGUCGGAAAGGAAAGAGUAGUCUUUAUUCCCCGCUCUGCUCCCCUUGAUAGAGCCAGAAAUAAAGAUUCGCCAAACAGGCAGGGGAUGGGACAGCCAAAGCCACGGCGAGUUCAAAGAAGAGUACAAAGAGGAACCGAUGGCAGAGAAUGUGCUAACAUUGACUCAUCUCAGCUGAGAGAUGGCCCCGUCUCAGCAAGAGAAAAGAAGGACUGAGGCGGGAGGGGGAGGUCAGGGUAAAGGGAGUGUGUGCUGACUAAGGCUUUUGAAAGGUCAUGUUAUGAACUCAUUGUUAACCCCUACAUCCUGUAGAGAGGAGGACCGGGGGCCUGGGAAUCGUGUUGCAACCCAAAGAGCCGCUCUAAUCCACCCAUAAUUCAGCAGAAGACAGCUAAGUGUCAUCGCUAUCACAUAACUUCUACGGUGAACACUCCUCCGUACUUUUUCCCAAGAAGGUCACUUUUCCUCCCUUGCUGAUUGCAUUAUACUUUUUAAUAGACAAUCUCCUUCUUCAUCUUUCUUCUCUUCUCUGAUUUCCGAGCACAGCUGGCUUUUACACAGCAGCACCGUCCCCGCGGAGGAGUGUUCGGAUGUUGGGAAUCCGGGACGAUGUUGACUGGGUUAGAAGGACACGGGAGCAGGCCUAAGGCAGCUUGAGCGGUGGCUGUUAGGAUUAUUAUCCGUUGAACUGCUAACAAGCAUAUCUGAGGACCCGAGGAGCUCAAUACAGAUGAUAUUAAUAACUGUGCGGCUCCAUCCAAGACGUCUAUUCCUCUGUCUCCUUAUUAGUAUUGGCUCUCAUUUCUGCAUCAAGACUAAAUCAAUAGCCCAUCCACAGCACGGCAUGAAUUUGCAGAACAAAUCAAAUAAGAUAUUCUAAGCAAGUAAAAUAGUUUGAGAGGAUUCAGCAGGUAAGUGCAGGAUGCUCAGAAGUCCUUUUCAUGUUAAGAGGCGGACACAGUCGCAAUAUCUGUCUGAAGCAGAUGGUAGAGUAGACAUCUGCUACCAUCGAGCUGAAGAGAGUGCCUGAUAUUUCCAACAUCAAAAACACCUCUUCAGUGCAUUUAUAUUCUGCCCGCUAUGGGUCACAUCUUUUGGAAGGCAUACACGGCAUUUUCAUUUGGAGGUGAGUACCAGCCUCAGUUCCAGAAGGAAAAAAAAAAGCUUUUGUGCACAGUUGUAAAACAAGUCUGAAAAAGUCACAUGUUGUGUUCUUUUGUUUGGUAGAAGAUUACAGCCCCUAUCAAAAAUGACAUGUUCUGACUACACUGUGCUUGGUGGGGUGUGGGUGUGAUACACAGGGAUCACCAAAUGUUCUGUUUCAGCAAUAAUUUAGGAUCUGCCACCUGAUUGGUUAACACAGUUUGCUUCCUUUGCCCUGUCCUGUCACAGAGCACAUUUCUAGUAAAUGGACAUUUAUAUUUUACUUUAGUAAAAGUACACUGAAUGAGCUGAGGCUUUCUAAACAUCAAACCAGCAAAUCUCACAUUGUGCUACGUAAGCAGCCUGCCGCAGUUGCUGCUCAUCUUCAAGCCACUUUGCAACCCAGCUCCACUCCAGCUCCUCCUUUCUUGCUGUAUCCCGCGGCCAACAGUACACUGGAAGGAUUUUUCUGUUACAUCAAGCCGGCAAACAGGGAUUUGUGAGUGUGAGGCCAGUGCUGCUGUGAACCAUUCCUUCACAUUUACCCGAAGUCUUUGCUUAGAAUAUCUGGAUUUACCACUGAGCUUAACUUCUGGUCUUUUUCUUAAGUGUCAGUAUUGUCGUCAGUGGCCCACACAAUCCAAACCAUUUACUAAAGUGAGCUAAUUGCAAAAGUCAGCAUUGCUGAAAUGAUGGAAGGCUGGGUACCACCAUGCUCCGUGUUAGCACUGUGUCGAAGAUGCAGACUGUCACACAGGGAGAGAUUCCCAAAUCUGUUCAUGGUUGGGUGAUGUGGAGUUUACCAAGUGGUUGAAACAUCUUGUCUUCAAUAAUUGUUUUAAACAAUGCAAGCUAACCUUUGUAGCCUUUUGUAGUUUGUAGAGCCUUAGAAAAGACAAUUAAAACAUCUUUUUUUUUGUUUUUGUACAGAAACGUCAGCUUUAUGAGUUAAUAUAACAAAAUGGUUUGCACUGAUAGAAGGAGGUUAAGUUUUAUUAGCUUGGCUUAUCUCCUGAGGGACAGAUCAGCCAGUUAGCCAGUUAGCCAUGGGCUUAGCCUUGGAUUUGAUUGGCGAGUUCCCUCAUGUCUUAGAACAGUUUUCUGGGUUUUUGACAGUUUUUCUUUUCUUUUUUAAACCCUAAUCUGCCCUGUCAUCUGUGAACACUGUAAAUAAACUGUAAAUCAAGUGAAGAGAAUUCCUACUUCUAUAGGCCUCUAAUAGGAUCCAAUUUAAUCAAUGUCAUGGAUGAUUACUCGGUUCUGUGCUCGGGGGCUCGCUGCUGUUCUCCCACCUCUGGCUUUCCAUACAGACACAUGGGACAUUUGAGAGGUGUGCUCUCCCUGCCUUAUGUGUCACAUUCAAUUGCAUUUUCACUUAUUUGUGUAUAUUCAUUUGUAAUGUUUUGUAUCUUGUCAUGUACUGUUGUCACAUUCAGCAGCUCUUUAAAACACCUUUAAGGCAAACGCCAUCCGCUUCUUCAUUCAGGUUUACGGGUUUAUAAGUACCGGCUUGUCUGCCUUGAAAUUAAGCAUGAAAUUGUCCAAAAUAUCCUGGUAUGUUGAAGCAUUAAGAGUUCCUUUUACUGGAAGUGAGAGGCUGAGCCCAACUCCUAAAAAACAACAACAACCCGACACUAUAAUCCCCUCUCCACCAAACUUUACACUCUGCACAGCGCAGUCAGACAAGUACUGUUCUCCAGGCAAUCAGCAAACACAGACUCGUCCAUCAGCUUGACAGACACUGAAGCGUGAUUUGUCACUGCAGAGAACAUGCAGAGCGCAGCUUUACACCACUGCAGCUACUGUUAUGCAUUGCACUUAGUGAUGUAAGACUUGGAUGCAGCUGCUCGGCCUUGGAAACCCAUUCCACGAAGCUCUCCGUGCCCUGUUCUUGACCCACCUUUGUGCUCUAUUCGCCUCACAGUGCUCACACCACUCUGUGAUUUUGCAUGGCCUGUCACUUAGUGGAAUUAUAACGAAGUGGAAGCCACCAGGAACGACAACAGCUCGGCCACUAACAGCUGACUGUGGAAUAUUUAGUUGUAAGGACAUUUUGCGGCUGGACUUGUUGCACAGGUGGCAUCCUAUCACAGCACCACGCAGGAAUUCACCGAGCUCCUGAGAGCGAUCCAUCCUUUAACAAAUGUUUACAGAAGCAGUCUGCAUGCUUGAUUUUAAACACCUGAACUCAGUGAUUUGAUGGGUGAGUGAAGUCUUUGGGAAUAUAGUGAAGGAGACCAUAUUUACCAUUCUGGUGGUAAAACGAUAAGGGAGGGGCAGAGCAGGCUGUACCUGCUGUGGAGACUUUUGGAGUGAAGGGCCCACUCCUCAGCCAUCUUUUACAGUGUGGUCUGCUGGG